UCUGGUUGAUCCUGCCAGUAGUCAUAUGCUGUCUCAAAGAUUAAGCCAUGCAUGUCUAAGUAUAAAUAGUAUACAGUGAAACUGCGAAUGGCUCAUUAAAACAGUUAUAGUUUAUUUGAUAAUUGACAAUUACAUGGAUAACCGUGGUAAUUCUAGAGCUAAUACAUGCUUAAACGCCCGACUUUAUGGAAGGGUGGUAUUUAUUAGACUGAAGCCAAUAUUCCUUGUGUCUAUUGCGGUGAUUCAUAAUAACUGAUCGAAUCUCUUUUUGAGAUAAAUCAUUCAAGUUUCUGCCCUAUCAGCUUUCGAUGGUAGCGUAUUGGACUACCAUGGCGGUAACGGGUAACGAAGAAUUAGGGUUCGAUUUCGGAGAGGGAGCAUGAGAAACGGCUACCACAUCUAAGGGAGGCAGCAGGCGCGUAAAUUACCCAAUCCUGACUCAGGGAGGUAGUGACAAGAAAUAGCAAACCGGGAACCUCAUGGUUUCACGGUAUUGCAAUGAGAACAAUUUAAAGCCCUUAGCGAGAAUCAAGUGAAGGACAAGUCUGGUGCCAGCACCCGCGGUAAUUCCAGCUCCACUAGCGUAUAUUAAAGUUGUUGCAGUUAAAAAGCUCGUAGUUGAACCUCUGUCUGGGGCUAGUUUUGGCUUUGGUCAGGCUAGUUCUAGGCAUCCGCCUACAAGACUUAGAGGGCAUUCAGUUGUUCACUAGGAGGAGUAGGCAUUUUACUUUGAAAAAAUUAGAGUGUUUAAGGCAGGCAAUCGCCCGCAUAUAUUAGCAUGGAAUAAUAGAAUAGGACACUUUUCCAUUUCGUUGGUUAUUGGAAUCGUGUAAUGAUUAAUAGGGACAGUUGUGGGCAUUUGUAUUUAAUUGUCAGAGGUGAAAUUCUUGGAUUUAUUAAAGACAAACUAACGCGAAAGCAUUUGCCAAGGAUGUUUUCAUUAAUCAAGAACGAAAGUUAGGGGAUCAAAGACGAUCAGAUACCGUCCUAGUCUUAACUAUAAACUAUUCCGACUCAAUGUUUGACUGGCUUAUAUAACCAGUUGAGCGUUGUAUGAGAAAUCAAAGUCUUUAGGUUCUGGGGGGAGUAUGGUUGCAAAGCUGAAACUUAAAGGAAUUGACGGAAGAGCACAACCAGGAGUGGAUUCUGCGGCUUAAUUUGACUCAACACGGGGAAACUUACCAGGUUAAAACAAUAGUGGGAUUGACAGUUUGAGAGCGCUUUCUUGAUUGGUUGGGUGGUGGUGCAUGGCCGUUCUUAGUUGGUGGAGUGAUUUGUCUGCUUAAUUGCGUUAACGAACGAGACCG
rnacentral:rRNA from 1 species